GUGUCAGCAGCCGCGGUAAGACGAACCGAGCGAACGUUGUUCGGAAUCACUGGGCUUAAAGGGCGCGUAGGCGGGCCGCCGCGUCCGGGGUGAAAUCCUCCCGCUCAACGGGAGAACGGCCUCGGAUACGGGCGGUCUGGAGGGGGGUAGGGGCGUGCGGAACUGUGGGUGGAGCGGUGAAAUGCGUUGAUAUCCACAGGAACUCCGGUGGCGAAGGCGGCACGCUGGACCCCACCUGACGCUGAGGCGCGAAAGCCAGGGGAGCGAACGGGAUUAGAAACCCCCGUAGUCC
rnacentral:rRNA from 1 species